rnacentral:rRNA from 1 species
CCUACGGGAGGCAGCAGUAGGGAAUCUUCCGCAAUGGACGAAAGUCUGACGGAGCAACGCCGCGUGAACGAUGAAGGCCUUCGGGUCGUAAAGUUCUGUUGUUAGGGAAGAACAAGUGCUAGUUGAAUAAGCUGGCACCUUGACGGUACCUAACCAGAAAGCCACGGCUAACUACGUGCCAGCAGCCGCGGUAAUACGUAGGUGGCAAGCGUUGUCCGGAAUUAUUGGGCGUAAAGCGCGCGCAGGCGGUUUCUUAAGUCUGAUGUGAAAGCCCCCGGCUCAACCGGGGAGGGUCAUUGGAAACUGGGAAACUUGAGUGCAGAAGAGGAAAGUGGAAUUCCAAGUGUAGCGGUGAAAUGCGUAGAGAUUUGGAGGAACACCAGUGGCGAAGGCGACUUUCUGGUCUGUAACUGACGCUGAGGCGCGAAAGCGUGGGGAGCAAACAGGAUUAGAUACCCUGGUAGUCCACGCUGUAAACGAUGAGUGCUAAGUGUUAGAGGGUUUCCGCCCUUUAGUGCUGAAGUUAACGCAUUAAGCACUCCGCCCGGGGAUACGGUCGCAAGACUGAAACUCAAAUGAAUUGACGG